rnacentral:lncRNA from 1 species
ACAGCGAAGAUGAAAGGAAACCCGCAGCUAAUGGCUCGGCAGUGAUGCGCCAGGUGUGGGCCUCGCUCGAUUGGGGAGGAGAGUGUGAAAACAGACAGAGAGACACACACACUGAGAGAGGGAGACACCCAGGCAGAGGGGAUGCAAAUGGAAUUCCGCAGAAAGAAAAGAGAGCUUAACGCGCGCGGCGAGUUCCGCAGGGGCAGCGGGACUCAUGGCCUUAAGUUUUCCACAGCCUGGCUUCAUCUUGAGAUGGCUAUUCGUACAAGAAGUCGCUUUCCCGUUUGCCUGGACCUCGCCUGCACUCCAGGUAUGUUGGGUGGGGAGAGUUUCUAAGAGUUGUCUUUUUUUUUUUCCUUGCCCAUAUUUUAAAGUAUUCGUUCAGAAUCAACGAAUUCUCCUGGAAAGAGGUUUUUCGAAUGAAGAGGUGCCAGGAAUGCGGCCCCUGCUGUGGCAGUACUGGAGGCCCCUACCUGGGAGAAGGCA